GUAGCCAAGAAUGACUUGCCGGAAUGCAUGCAUUUAUUAGGUACCAAGGUGUAUUGUAUGAUUUCGACGAGUUGUUCUUGGCUAC
rnacentral:pre_miRNA from 1 species